CUCACCCUAAGCUCACCCUCACCCAGACCCUGACCCUAACCCUAACCCCUAUCCCUGUCCCAGACCCUAGCCCUAACCCUAAAUCUGUAAACCCUAACCCUAAGCCCUGACCCUAACGCUAACCCCCACCCAUACUUUGUUGGCCCUAGGUUCUCCAGCCCUGCUGGGCUCCCCGCUCCCCUGGGGUUUUGGCUUCUGGGAGGCGAGGGAGGGGAUUCAGUUCCGGCCGCUGCGCCCCGCGAGGCUCCAGGAGGCGACCGCGCACGUGGCGGGGCGGGGCUCGUACCUGUGGCCGCGUGGCGGGGGCGGGUCAGGUCGGGGCACGAGGACGGAGUUCAGGUAGUUGGGCGACUGUUGGAAAAACUGGCCUCUCCUCGCUCCGCGCUUCGCCGCCGCCUCCCCGGGUCCUGCCGCUGCCGAGGUCGCGCAGAGGUGGACCCGCCCGCGUCCUGCCCUCGCCUCCUGCUUGCAGGUCCUGAGGCCUGGAGCCACGGGCCAGCUGCGCACAUGUGGUGGGAUUCCAGCCAGACCUGCUCAGGGAAGGGCGAGGCCAUUCCCACGCCCAGAGCACCUGCAGAGCCUCUGCCGUCCUCUGCCGACAGCUGAGGCCCCUCACGUUCACACGGUUCGACUGCGUGAUGUUAACAGGCUGUUCCCUCUGAAAAGGACACGUGUGGAUAAACCAUUUAUGGACACCACGGUUCUGAUGAGCCGAGCAGAGGUUUCACCCCUGCGGUGGGCGCCAUUCCACCGACAUGCGUCCUGUAACAAAUGACAUAAAAUACAGCUGUUUUAAGGGCAGAGUCGUUGCUUAAAAUUGGAGGCCAAUUAAAAACUACAAACAUUCUACUAAACCCAGAAUUCUUAGGGGGGAGGAAAUGGAGCGUGUUUUCCUGGUCAGAGAAGAGCCUGACUUUUCUGGAGGGUGUUCGCCUGGAGGCCCCUCACGGAGCUGCUGCCUCCGAGCUUAAAACGAUGGUUGUGCGAGAGAAAGGGCCGUGGGAACAACGUCCAUGCCAGGUGGACGGGCCUUCACCAGGGUGCUGAGUUUGGUGGGCACCGCAGGGUCCCCACUGAGACCCUGACUUGGCCCCACGUUACGGGGAGAGAGUGGACACCCUGAGUCUGCAGGACGGGGCUGGGCGGGGCUGCUCCCGGACAAGAACUCGGUUGUGACUGAAAAGUGAUGAUCAUUUGUUCAUUCAUUCCACUCGCCCGCCCGGCACGUGUUUACCGAGCACCAGCCACGCUCCCCGUGCUUUUUCUAGCAGCAGAUUGUCAGCGGUGGCCUUUCUGCAGCUCACGUUCCAGCGGGGAGCAGGCUUACACACAUUGACCCUGUAACGAGAUAGCAAACAUGGCGAAGACCGUAAAGCAGUUGAGGGGGUGAGGGGCCUGGGGUGGGCGCAGGAGGGGCUUCAGCUCUCGAGUUGGGGUGGUCGGGGAUGGGCUGUAUGAGGAGGGGUCACUAGAUUGAUGGGAGGAGCCAGUUGCACGCAGAUCUGGGGAAUGAGCACUCCAGCCAGAGGGACAGCAUGCGCAAAGGCCCUGAGGUGGGCACUGCAUGAUGAGCUUGAGGAGCAGUAAGGAGGGCUAUGUGGCUGUG
rnacentral:lncRNA from 1 species